rnacentral:rRNA from 1 species
GUAUGGUGCAAGCGUUAUCCGGAAUUACUGGGUGUAAAGGGAGCGUAGGUGGCAAGGCAAGUCUGAUGUGAAACCCCAAAGCUUAACUAUGGGAAUGCAUUGGAAACUGUCUAGCUAGAGUGUAGGAGAGGUAAGCGGAAUUCCUAGUGUAGCGGUGAAAUGCGUAGAUAUUAGGAGGAACAUCGGUGGCGAAGGCGGCUUACUGGACUAUAACAGACACUGAGGCUCGAAAGCGUGGGGAGCGAA